UACAGAGGUCUCAAGCGUUGUUCGGAUUCAUUGGGCGUAAAGGGUGCGUAGGCGGCGCGGUAAGUCGGGUGUGAAAAUCUCGGAGCUUAACUCCGAAACUGCAUUCGAUACUGCCGUGCUUGAGGACUGGAGAGGAGACUGGAAUUUACGGUGUAGCGGUGAAAUGCGUAGAUAUCAGGAAGAACACCAAUGGCGAAGGCAGCUCUCUGGGACGGUACUGACACUGAGACGCGAAAGCGUGGGGGAGCGAACAGG
rnacentral:rRNA from 1 species